rnacentral:misc_RNA from 1 species
AAGUCGUAACAAGGUCUCCGUAGGUGAACCUGCGGAGGGAUCAUUACACAAAUAUGAAGUCAGAUUGGGCCCGCCCCUUCGGGUAAGGGCCAGCUCUGACGCCAUAUUCACCCAUGUCUUUUGCGUACUACUUGUUUCCUUGGCGGGUUCGCCCGCCAAUUGGACAUCAUUAAACCUUUUUUUGUAGUUGCAAUCAGCGUCAGCAAAACAAUGUAAUAAAUUACAA